rnacentral:rRNA from 1 species
GUUGAUCAUGGCUCAGGAUGAACGCUAGCGACAGGCUUAACACAUGCAAGUCGAGGGGCAGCAUAGAAGUAGCAAUACUUGGUGGCGACCGGCGCACGGGUGAGUAACGCGUAUGCAACCUACCUAUCAGAGGGGAAUAACCCGGCGAAAGUCGGACUAAUACCGCAUAAAACAGGGGCACCGCAUGGUGAUAUUUGUUAAAGAAAUUCGCUGAUAGAUGGGCAUGCGUUCCAUUAGGUAGUUGGUGAGGUAACGGCUCACCAAGCCGACGAUGGAUAGGGGAACUGAGAGGUUGGUCCCCCACACUGGUACUGAGACACGGACCAGACUCCUACGGGAGGCAGCAGUGAGGAAUAUUGGUCGAUGGGCGGGAGCCUGAACCAGCCAAGUCGCGUGAAGGAAAAGAAGGAUCUAUGGUUCGUAAACUUCUUUUGCAGGGGAAUAAAGUGCAGGACGUGUCCUGUUUUGUAUGUACCCUGAGAAUAAGGAUCGGCUAACUCCGUGCCAGCAGCUGC